rnacentral:rRNA from 1 species
GACGAACGCUGGCGGCGUGCCUAAUACAUGCAAGUAGAACGCUGAAGGAGGAGCUUGCUUCUCUGGAUGAGUUGCGAACGGGUGAGUAACGCGUAGGUAACCUGCCUGGUAGCGGGGGAUAACUAUUGGAAACGAUAGCUAAUACCGCAUAAUAGUAGAUGUUGCAUGACAUUUGCUUAAAAGGUGCAAUUGCAUCACUACCAGAUGGACCUGCGUUGUAUUAGCUAGUUGGUGGGGUAACGGCUCACCAAGGCGACGAUACAUAGCCGACCUGAGAGGGUGAUCGGCCACACUGGGACUGAGACACGGCCCAGACUCCUACGGGAGGCAGCAGUAGGGAAUCUUCGGCAAUGGACGGAAGUCUGACCGAGCAACGCCGCGUGAGUGAAGAAGGUUUUCGGAUCGUAAAGCUCUGUUGUAAGAGAAGAACGAGUGUGAGAGUGGAAAGUUCACACUGUGACUGUAUCUUACCAGAAAGGGACGGCUAACUACGU